UGGGGAAUAUUGCACAAUGGGCGCAAGCCUGAUGCAGCCAUGCCGCGUGUAUGAAGAAGGCCUUCGGGUUGUAAAGUACUUUCAGCGGGGAGGAAGGGAGUAAAGUUAAUACCUUUGCUCAUCGACGUUACCCGCAGAAGAAGCACCGGCUAACUCCGUGCCAGCAGCCGCGGUAAUACGGAGGGUGCAAGCGUUAAUCGGAAUUACUGGGCGUAAAGCGCACGCAGGCGGUUUGUUAAGUCAGAUGUGAAAUCCCCGGGCUCAACCUGGGAACUGCAUCUGAUACUGGCAAGCUUGAGUCUCGUAGAGGGGGGUAGAAUUCCAGGUGUAGCGAUGAAAUGCGUAGAGAUCUGGAGGAAUACCGGUGGCGAAGGCGGCCCCCUGGACGAAGACUGACGCUCAGGUGCGAAAGCGUGGGGAGCAAACAGG
rnacentral:rRNA from 1 species